CCGUGUGUGACUGGAGCUUGGUUAUCAGUCUCGCUUUGGAGGCGAGAAUACGUAGGUUCAAAUCCUACCGCACGGA
rnacentral:tRNA from 1 species